AUUCAAAUCCUGUCAAAUGAGAUUUGGAACGGAGGAACCAAUGUUUGGGGCUAAUCUUAUGAGAGACACCUUCCAGUCUUAGCCCGUCAGCUAACUCCGUCGGCAAUGGAAGGAACC
rfam:Calothrix sp. PCC 7507, complete genome.